AUGAAGGACCCACACUGCCUUUGUGCAGUCAAGGUUACCUCCACGCUGUGCUCUGCAGCAGCCUCGUGGUGCUCACACCCAGCUCACUGCCCGCUCUUCCAGCCCCAAGACCCUCCGUGCCCAGCAGAACCUUUGCCACGUAUCUCUGCUUUCCUAACGGCCCUUGGAAGCCACGCACCCAUCUGUCAGCAGGACGGCUGCUUCCUGCCUGCGUCCCCUCCACAGGACAAGCCUUUCAUUAUUGAUGGAACUGUAAUUUCGCUGCAAUUCACAGAAAAACGCUCGACACCUCAGUUCAGCAGGGAGGGGAGCGAGAUGGGGCUCAUCGCACCAUGUGCGCAUCGGUGCGGGGUGCCAGCAGCCAUGCCCAUGUCCUCAUACGGCCCCACUGGGUGGCACAGCUCAACCCCACUUGUGGGCUGCCACCCCUUCGGUCCCAACCACGGGGCCACGUGGAGAUGCCCAGCGCAGCCACUGCAAGGGGCGUAAAUAAUUUAAUAACAGAAUGCUGGAAACGAUACCGUCCUAAAUAAUAUAAUAAACCCUAAUUUACUCGCAUUUAUCUCCUGGAGGUGUUUUUUUUCCCUUGAAAGCAGUAAUCUUGCAUCUUCCGCCGUGAUGGAUUAGAAGGAAGGAAACUCCGCUGGGGAAUAAAAACCCACAUCGUGUAGUUUUUGACAUGUUAUUAUUCAGUUUUAUCUCGGGUUGUUCGUUCCCGGCCCAUUACUCAUGUUCACGGGGAGUUUUCUCCCCCUUAUUUAUUUAUUUUCACCGUGACCAGAAGCAGGAAUGCCAACAAAUCCAAAAUCCAACCUUCUUGGUGCAGAGGGAUGGGGUGGUGGGCACACUGUGGGCGUGGGGACAUUGCCACUGCUCCUCAGCAGCUGGUAGGGAAGGGAUACAGCUUAAUUAAUCCACGAUUCUCUUAUUGGUUUAAUUAAUACUAUAGGUCUUGUUAUUUCCAAGGCACUUGGGGAGCUGCUUCUAGGGGAAGGGGCUGGAGAUGUUUUGGAGGUGAUGUGGGAUGAUGCUUCUUCCCUUUCUGAUGGCCUGCUGAGUGCUUGCAGUCAUUAACUCAGAGAAACAUGGGAGUCCUCCAUUGGUAGCUUUAAUUAUUGCUAAAUCUCUGUCUUUGUUGCUUAUUUGUCAUUAUGCAUAGUGGUACCCAGGAUGCAGUGCCCUGUAGGUUCUUCCUUUGGAGGGAAGGAUUUUUGGCUGCCUUGGUUCAAGUCACCAAGAGGUUAUGAAAUAAUUGCAAAUUCUCUGAGUAAUGCUGGGGUUGGUGGCUCUCUCUGUUACUGCUGCUGCUUUGUUUACUCCUCAGCUUCAAAGAAAACUUGGAAGAGAAGAGAGCAGCCAGGGGUUGGAGCUCACAGGGCAGGGAGCAGGCAGAGUGCUGGGUAUCCCAUCCUGCUUGGGCAAAGCACGUGCAGAAAGCCCUGCAGGUGGGUCUGUCUGUCUAUCCAUUGGUCAGCCCAUCUGUCCAAAGCCUGCAGCACUUCGGUGUCUCUUUGCAUUCACCCCCCAGCUGCAGGGAUGCGCUGAUGUAGGCGGGUUGGGGGGACACUGGAAGGAAUCCAAAGCACAAUAAAUAUAAGACAAACACAAAGCUCAUCUGGUUGUACAAAGCAGGGCUGCUUUAAUUCCUCCUCCAGCAAUUCCAGCCCAACAGCAGCCGCAGUCCUGACACAACAGGCAGUGUCCCAGGGGCUCUGCUCCUCCGCUGCCAAAUGAGUGCUCCUGCUCUCACUGAUGUGCUUAGCAAAAAAAUAAUAAUAAUAAUAAACCAAAGCAACUCUAGCACUGAGCUAGCAGGAUGCAGGCAGGGCCUUUGCAUAAAGGGAGGCUUGCUGAGGAGAAAGCUGAUGGCUGAGUCACGCAGGUGGGCUUCUGCCCAUCUUCCCCCCCAGCAUCCUUUGGUAGCUGCCAGCUUUGCCGCAUCCAAACUUUCCACCCUGCGUGCAAUUAGCCAGACAACAAACUCCGUGUUUGACUUUCCCUGUCUAAAUUUGCUUAGCUUGAGCUGGAAGCUGCAGUAAGUAAACGAUUUUCUGUUUAUAUUCAGCACUAAUGAAGAGGCAGCAAACGCUGCCCAUUAAUAACGCAGGAGAUGAUGGUGUUUGCAGAGGGCCUGUAUACAACAUGUCAUACUUAGCGGCGAGCGCCCGACCGGCUAUUGAUUUCCCAAUAAGCACGGCCCUGUUGGUUGUGGCUGCAUUUGUUUUCUUCCAGGAGGAAAUCAUCUGUGCUGGAGGGGACUGGGACAACUGCUCAGCAGCUGCUGGAAGGUGUUGAAACGUCCCUGGGAUGUGCUGGUGCAUAACAGACACCCGUCAUGGGAUCCUGCUCCAGGCAGGUCCAGACAGACUGGAGAAGAACUCGUUGAGAGCAGCCCUGCGGAGGACUUGGGGUCCUGACGGGCAGAAGCAGGACAUGAGGCAGCAGUGUGGGCCUGCAGCCCGGAUGGCCGACAGUCCUGGGCUGCAGCAACAGAGGGGUGCCUGCUCCACAUCUCCAAUAUCGCUGUUGUUCCCCCUGGACCCAGCCUGAGCUGCCAGCAGUAUCUCCCAACCGCCUGCCCUUGCAGGGAGCGCAAGGAAACAACAUUUAUUUGCAAAUACGGCUGUUAUUGAGCCAAAUGAGAGGGAUUAUUAGGGGCUCGUGGAAUUGUCAGCGAGCACUGUUUAAUUAGAGCUCAGACAUAACAUUCAUCGUUACCCGUAGCUCCGCUCUGAUCUCAGGCUCUGUACCCCCAGGCUUCCCUGGCUGCAGGGAGCGCAGCGAGGCCGGCUCUCCCCAGCUCCCUCAUCAAAUACCUGCUCCAGCCUCUCAAGGUUAGCACGAUGGGGGUCAGCCAUGUUUAAACGUUGAUUACAGAGUCGGCAGGAGCCGCUAAGAUUUCUAAUUAAGAUUAAAGAAUGCACACGGCUUAUAAAUGGUUCUCAGGAAUGUGUAAUUUGAUUAGCUUGUUUUCUUGCAUCUCUUUCAGACCCGAGUUGGUCGGGAUGGCCCAGUCCUGGGGUCUUCCCAUUUGUGUCCCCACUCUGAGCCUAUGGAGUUGAUGCUGAGCAGCUCUGUCCCCAUCUCUGUCACCUUUGCUGUGUGGUCUCACCCCACACUGGCUCUGCAAAAUGUUUGCAGACACCAAGCUGCUCAGCAUCACUGCACGCUCAAAGGCAUGGCAGUGGAGUGGGAGAUGUGUUGUUUUGCUUCUGUGACAUUCAUUUAUACGGCUUUUGCUGAUUUAUUUCACUUCAACGUCGCUUGGGAAGGGAGGAGGCAUCAUAGCUUGGCUUGUUUGUGCUGUGACAGCCAUGAGAUUGAGCAAAACCAUCACAGCCUCCUCUGGGGUGUUAUUGCUGGAGGACCCAAAGCCGUGCUCGCAGGCAGCUCCUGGCAGUGGGAGCCGUGCUGGCAGCUGCCCAUGCCUGGGGCACACAGCACUGCCCCACAUUCCUUGGAACCAUCCCAAAUCUGAGCUAGACACCCCCGAUCUGAAACGGGAUGCCUCAUCCCAAGGCUUCCACCUGUGCUUUGGGGUAGUUGCUCCUCAGCUCUUGCUUAGAGAGAGAGAAGUGGAGGGGAAGUGAGGCAGGUGGUCACCAAGAGGAUGCUGCCUUGUUCUGCUUGGGAGGAGGAGGCAGCAUGACAAGAGCAAGAGAGAGAACGUGUGCAUGCAGCCUUGGGCUCAUGAUAGAAGCGAAGCUUGAACUUGAAUCCUCUGCUCCCUUUGGAGCUACAGAAACCUCUCGGAAAAUCGGUUUCUUCUGCUUCCUGGUGGUCCCUUGGGUGGUGCUGCCCAGCACCCAGCACCAACCAGCAGUUCCCUCUGUGCUGGCCUGGCAGUGAGUGCAGGCAGGGGGCAGAGCCAGCAGCAGCUCCGCGUACCUGCGCACGGGACAGCUGUGCAUCAAUAUUUAUUCAAAACUCCCAGGAAACCUGGAUGAAGUGUAAUUAUCUCAGCUCAAUCAACUUGGAUUAGCAUAACAUCAAGUCACCCAUCAGACUGGGGUUUGAUUUCUGGGAUCAAAGCCGCGCACUGCAGCCGCUGAUGAAUCAGAUUCGAGGGAGGCAGGAGAAGAAAGCCACGUGCUCCGCUGCUUUGAUAUCCCAAUUGCAGUUGAGUUCACUUUCUCCUCUCAAACUUCCCGUUCCUCUGCCUGCCUACAGGCACUGGGGCUGUUUCUGCCUGCAGUCCCAGCAGAAGCAGACAGAAAGGCAGCCCAGUGGCUAAACUGUGAAAGGAAAGGAGAAAAUGUUGCACUUGAUGGGUUUGGUGAAGUUUGUCCUCAUAGGAAAGGGCUGCUCCUGGGGAAGGUGCAUCCCCAGCACAUCCCCAUCAGUCCCUACUGUGGGCAGCACUGCGUGGCAGCAGCCCUCAGCACUGUGCAGGAUCCUUCCUUGCAAGCAUCUAACCCCUACCGCCACUCCCCUUAAUUAAGAACUAAAUAUAGAUCUUAAUUAAGGCACUGAUGAAUUUAAUUUAGAGUGGCAUUACUGCCUUAACUUCCAGAGCUCAAUACCUUGUUUGUAUAAUGUAUAAUAUAAGCUAAAUGAGUGCUUACUUGUUACCACCAUAAAUAAUUCCCUUGCAAAUCCCUUCAGAUAUGUCUCAGACACUAAUCCAUCUCCUCCUACAGAAUAUUCAUGGGCACCAAUCCUUUUUCAUCCUACCUCACAGAUUUUAAUAGAAAACCUCCCGGCAGCUUGCCAGCAUCACCUUCCAAAACCAGUAGGUGCUGGGGCAGGGAAAGGAGUGCAUGGGGCGGAGUGGGAUGGAGUUGCUCUCUGGAUUAGCUCCUGGUUACAGGUUGAGGAGCACCAGGAGAGCACAAUUCACCUCCCAUCCUCAUCUUCACAUCCUGAGCUGGACCAGCUCUGGGAAAUAGCUCCGUGUGUGCGCUCCAAGGCAAAGGACUUGGGGUCCUGAUGGACAGAAGCGGGACGUGAGGCAGCUGAGAGUCCCCUGGGCUGCAGCAACAGAGGGGUGGCAGCAGGGAGAGGAGAGGGAGGGGGUUGUGCCCCUCUGCUCUGCCCCUGGAAGGCCCCACCUGCAGUGCUGUGCCCAGGCCUGGGGCCCCCAGGACAGGAGGGAUGCGGAGCUGCUGGAGCGGGUCCAGAGGAGGGCACGAGGAUGCUCAGAGGGCUGGGGCACCUCUGAUUGAAGACAGGCUGAGGGAGCUGGGCUUGUUCAGCUUGGAGAAGAGAAGGCUGUGCGGAGACCUCAUUGUGGCCGGCCUGUACUUGGAGGGAGCUUACAAGCAGGAGGGGAG
rnacentral:lncRNA from 1 species